GGUGACUGUGAGGCUAUUCUCGCGGAAGAUCCUAGUAACAUUGGAGAGUAGUCCUACUCUGUCCGUGGUACAUAGUUCUAGUUUCAAUCCCUCAGAUACCCUUCUUUCUAUAGCUGCUUCAAGACAUUGAAUCACUCGUUGGCGCUCUGCGUCUGAUUUCACCGGGGAACCAUCUAUAUGUCGUAUGCAGUACUCCUGGUGGGCUAUUGGUCCUUCAGCAUCAACAUUACCAUGGAAAACCACAUACUGCAUAUCAGUCAAAGUACAAAUCGUAUCAAACAGAAGUUUUGGUCUAUCCUUGCACCGAAUUGUCACUACUGAGUAGUCCUUGUCUUGCCAAUUAACAACGUUUACAUUGGGCCUUUCUUUAUCAUCCGAUCCGUCACCAGUGGCACGUUCAUAAUCACGGUCUGCAAACAUCAGCUGGUGAAGCCUUCUAUCAGUAUGAGUGACCCCAUGAGAUAACAAUGUCUUAGCAUCUCUUGAUUUAUUGCUACCUCUAAGUACAUUGCAUAAUAGUUUCUUGAUCAUAGACAACUUUUCAGCGUCAGCAAUUGCACCCCCGGUUUCGUCAUCAGUAACUUGCAUUAUAGCUGCUGCU
rnacentral:misc_RNA from 1 species